rnacentral:lncRNA from 1 species
CAGAGGGGGCAGUGCUGGUGGCACUCCCCAGGUGUCUUGGCAGCACUCUCUGUGCCCGAGCUGUCCCUUACCUCUGCCAUGCAUGGCUGAACGUGCUUUGGCAAGGUCAGCUGCCACCUGCUCCUCUGCAAUGAGGACCUGGCUUCCAGAUUUUUAAACAUAAGGGAGGUUGCAGUAAAGCUUACAAAGACUAUGCUUGGGGCGAGAGACAGAGGCUUUGUGUGUACCAAGGAAAUUUGGUGUAUGAAGAGAGUGGAGCUGGGCACAGGACUGAUACAACUUGCCAGCAAGUGAGUUCCUCCACAAUUUAGUCUUGGCUGUGUCUGCAGUGAGAAAGUACUACUUGGAACAUGAAGGAAUUUGAAAGAACACACAGAGGAAAACAAAAAAUCCAAGAUGUCAUUUUGCAUUUGAUUUCAAAAAGUGAAUUUAGCAGGUGAGAACAUGUUAAUAGCUAUAUGUUUUUGCUUUGACAGGGACA